AAGCGGUGGAGCAUGUGGUUUAAUUCGAUGCAACGCGAAGAACCUUACCUGGUCUUGACAUCCACGGAAGUUUUCAGAGAUGAGAAUGUGCCUUCGGGAACCGUGAGACAGGUGCUGCAUGGCUGUCGUCAGCUCGUGUUGUGAAAUGUUGGGUUAAGUCCCGCAACGAGCGCAACCCUUAUCCUUUGUUGCCAGCGGUCCGGCCGGGAACUCAAAGGAGACUGCCAGUGAUAAACUGGAGGAAGGUGGGAUGACGUCAAGUCAUCAUGGCCCUUACGACCAGGGCUACACACGUGCUACAAUGGCGCAUACAAAGAGAAGCGACCUCGCGAGAGCAAGCGGACCUCAUAAAGUGCGUCGUAGUCCGGAUUGGAGUCUGCAACUCGACUCCAUGAAGUCGGAAUCGCUAGUAAUCGUGGAUCAGAAUGCCACGGUGAAUACGUUCCCGGGCCUU
rnacentral:rRNA from 1 species